GCAGCAGUUAGCUAGCUAUUUGCUUUGAUCAUGCACUUUCCACUUUGUCAAUUUAACUAUUUUGCGGCAGGAUGACAUGUGUAGACAGUUGAUAUAGGAAGUCCCAGCCAAUUUACAAGUGUGUAGUCUUUUUAAUCUGCCUCUGAUCCGCUUAGUGGGGGGUGCCAUGUGUUCACCAGGCAGCAGUAGCCAAUCUGUGCUGUUAAGGCAAUAGAACAGUGAACGAACGCUGAUAGAUGCCAGUUUAUGAAUGGCUUGGCAUUCCCAGAGAGGUCAGGGGAGGCAGUCUGGGGGGUUGUCUCAAAGAAAGUACGUGCCCAGGAGGCCGCUGGUCCAAAGCAACCUGUCUGUCUGUGGGGAGAAUGACGUGGACCAGUUACUAGACCUCCUUUCUACUCUCAACGAAGACAGGCCUCCCUACUUAAGUGUCUCUGAUGAGGUGCUGGACAGGCACACAUCUGAGCCUGUCUUGAGACUGAGAAACCUGAGCCGCAACACUGACUUAACAGAAAGUGGUCCCUCUUGGAGUGCCAAGCUUGGGAAGUUGUCCCAUCAGGGAAGUGAGGAGAAAGGGUCAGAAGCCAAUUUGACUGACAGGGAUAUCAUUGUUCCUGUUAGGUUACAAGGGGGUGCUUCAUUGACCUCUGGUCAUCAUUAUGGCUCAAUUGCGGGUCGAGGUGAUGGUGGCAACUGUGUCAAUUGGCUUGGGAAAUGGGGCAGGGGACGGCAACAGCCAGUGGAGAGAGAAUGUGUCUCUUUUGUCCAAAAAUGCAACAGCGGUUCACUAGGUUCUACCUUUCCCGGAGAUGCUCCUUUCUACCCUGAAGUCCCCGACUUGCUAGACAGGCGUCAGGGGGAACAUGUAAAGCCUGCAUGUCUGAAGCAGAAUGAAAACGUGUCAACGUUCCAGGAUCUACUAGAGUCCUCCUGGACAUCUGCAAGCUUGCAUCGGUCAAUGUUGGAUCUUGAGAUUGGCUUAUCAUUGGUGGAUCUAGGCCUACUACCCCAGGCACUGAGUACCUCUGGAGACUUGGCCUUAUCUCCUGUGAAUCUUGAAUCUCCUUUAGAUAACGAAUCUCAUGGCCCUAGGCCCUUUAUCUCUUGCAGUGCAAAAAUGUCAUGCUCCAUCGACCACUGUCACAAAGGGGGCAGAAGUUGUUCUACCAGGAAGGAUGGUUCCUCAACAAGUCCGUAUAAGGCCAACAGGGAAACCAAGUUCUCUGAACUCCAUCUUCAUAGCGAAAUCGCAAAGAAUGCUGGACAACAAUCAACAAACAUCCAUUCUCCUAGUGUAUCAGUGAAGGCACACAUUGAACCAUGGUGGAAAGCUGAAAGAAAGGCAGAAAAGGAGACUGACGUUUUUGCGUCGGCCAUGCGUGGCUCAGAUUUCCCAAGCAAUAUGUACUUUUUACCUGCAAGCCUCUCUCAGUAUAGCUUCAGCGGUAGACAAAACAGCACAGAGGUGGCGUACCCUGAGCAUAAUACAAAACGGUCCAAUGAACUCUCAGGUCAAGCUAAGUCAGAUUCAGUGGACACUGUGCAUAGUUUUUAUCCUACUCUAAAAGGGGUGGAGGAUUUGUCUGAGGUGCCGAGAGUCACAACAAGUAAUCCAGCUGUGUCACAUUCUCUCUUGUGGGAAGAAAGACUUGCAAUCACUAAGAAUUUGGGUCAAAUGACCCUCUCGGACAGAGAGAGGGCAGCUCACCUGAAGCGAAGCACUCCGAAUGCGCCAAGCCAAGACAACAGAGAGGGCCUCUCUCUGCGCCUCCAUAGCCAUAGCAGAAGAACUCCUGGGUCAACUACUCCUGAAAGUCAAUGUCAGAUCGACCCAUUAGUUACAACACACACAAGCACAUUGCAUACGUUGACAGGAGGCGCCAGUGGUGAUUUUCUUGGCGAUAGAGAGCUGUCUGCAGUUCAUCAGUCCUUGCCUGUGCCUAUUGACGCAGUAGAGAUUCAUAGCCCCAGUCUUGUGGAGACAAUAGAGGACAGCAGGUGGCUGGCACUCUACAGAUUCAGACUGCAGUUGCGCUGCUUCAGGACAUGGAACCAUCAGUGGAGGUCACACACACGGGCCAGACUCCAGCACCGGAGACACUUACUGAGGACCGGCCUCUCUGCCCUGAGGUGGGCUGUGGUUACCCGACGUGCCCAGACAGACACCCUUGCCAGGAGGAAGGAUGCCCUGACCCUCGCCCACUGUUUCCAUCGGUGGAGGAGGUGUGUGGGACAGAUGCAUUGUCUCAACGUGAGCCCUGGCUCUGUGCGGGGUGACAUUGGGGUUGUGGAUUGCCUGCUGAGGAGACUGACCCAGCCCAGCGACACCCUGGUCCUGAGGACGGCCUACUGUGCCUGGAGGAGCCACAUCCAGGGCAUGCAGCUCGGCAGGGCAUCGCUCAUACACUACCAUCUGACUCUGCUGUGUAAGCACUGGCUGCUGUGGAGGCAGGCUGGUGUGAGGCUGCAGGCGUGGGCGCUACAAGCCCAGAGGGCAGCCCUCCACUGGGACCGCAGGCAGCAGGGUCGGGCCUACGUCUUGUGGAGAGCUGCCUGGGUCACAGCACGUCUGGCCACAAAACAGCACAGGGUGUCCUGCCUGGCUGCAGCCUGGAGCGUGUGGGCGGCCCGGGCCACACAGAGGGAGGAGGAGCGAUCUGCUAGGGCCAAUCAGAGUGCUGGCUUCCACAGGAGGAGCCUACUGCAGCACAGCCUUCUGCUGUGGCUAGAGAGAGCAGAGCAGAGAAGACGACAGAGGGAUAGGCUGCAACGCAUCGUCAGGAGGGUUUCCCAGCGCUGGCGCGAGCACACACACAGAGCCCGGUUGCAGCGUGUGUGUGUCGAGGCCGAACAGGUACUCUGCAGACAAAUUUUAGCAGUGGCCUUUGGGAGGUGGCGCCAGGAGUUUGCCCGGGCAGACUGCGGGCACAGACUGGUGCAGAGGUGGCACUACCUGCUGGAGUGGAGGAGACUGCAGGAGGCGUUUACAUCCUGGAACCGCAGGGUCCUGGUCAGGAGAGGGGCCCUAGAGAUACAGGAGAAAAGCAUCCUGCGUGGCUGGCGGGGUGUGGUCGAGCGCAGGGCGGCGUGUGUGUGUUACUGCAGCGAGAGGAAUGAUCGGAUGGCCGCACACACCCUGCAGAGCUGGAGGAGAGCCACAGCGCUACGGUCUCUACACACACACCUCCUCACACACCUGCUGGAGAGAAGGACACAGGCGCUGACCCUAGGGACACUGACAGGGAAUAUGAGGCAGAGUGAGGCGGUGACGCCAAGGUUGUAUGGUGGUGCCAGGCUCAUCACAUUGGAGGAGUUGUGUGACAACCUGCAGCUCCAGACAAGCUUUCACUCCUGGAGGAGGGAGAGGAGCAAGCUCCAGCUAGCCAGGUAG
ensembl:lncRNA